ACAGUGGCUCAGUGGCAGAGCAUCUGCUUGGCAUGCAGAAGGUCCCAGGUUCAAUCUUUGGUAUCUCCU
rnacentral:tRNA from 1 species